AGUAACACGUGGGAAUCUACCCAUCAGUACGGAAUAACACUUAGAAAUAAAUGCUAAUACCGUAUGUCCUCGGGAGAGGAAAGAUUUAUCGCUGAUGGAUGAGCCCGCGCCAGAUUAGGUAGUUGGUAGGGUAAUGGCCUACCAAGCCUACGAUCUGUAGCUGGUCUGAGAGGACGUACAGCCACACUGGGACUGAGACACGGCCCAGACUCCUACGGGGGGCAGCAGUGAGGAAUAUUGGACAAUGGGCGAAAGC
rnacentral:rRNA from 1 species